rnacentral:tRNA from 1 species
GUACCCGUAGCUCAAUCGGAUAGAGCAAUUGCCUUCUAAGCAGUAGGUUAACGGUCCGAAUCCGUUCGGGUACG